GACGAACGCUGGCGGCGUGCCUAAUACAUGCACGUAGAACGAGUUGCGAACGGGUGAGUAACGCGUGGUAACCUGCCUCAUAGCGGGGGAUAACUAUUGGAAAAGAUAGCUAAUCCCGCAUACAGUGAGAUGGACCUGCGUUGUAUUAGCUAGUUGGUGAGGUAAAGGCUCACAAAGGCGACGAUACAUAGCCGACCGGAGAGGUGGAUCUGCCACACUGGGAGUGAGACACGGCCCAGACUCCUACGGGAGGCAGCAGUGGGGAAGAUUGCACAAUGGGCGAAAGCCUGAUGCAGCCAUGCCGCGUGUAUGAAGAAGGCCUUCGGGUUGUAAAGUACUGUAAGCGGGGAGGCGUUACCCGCAGAAGAAGCACCGGCUAACUCCGUGCCAGCAGCCGCGGUAAUUC
rnacentral:rRNA from 1 species